CGCCAGACUCCUACGGGAGGCAGCAGUCGGGAAUAUUGCGCAAUGGAGGAAACUCUGACGCAGUGACGCCGCGUAUAGGAAGAAGGUUUUCGGAUUGUAAACUAUUGUCGUUAGGGAAGAUAAAAGACUGUACCUAAGGAGGAAGCCCCGGCUAACUAUGUGCCAGCAGCCGCGGUAAUACGUAGGGGGCAAGCGUUAUCCGGAUUUACUGGGUGUAAAGGGAGCGUAGACGGCAUGGCAAGCCAGAUGUGAAAUACCGGGGCUCAACCCCGGGACUGCAUUUGGAACUGUUAAGCUGGAGUGUCGGAGAGGCAGGCGGAAUUCCUAGUGUAGCGGUGAAAUGCGUAGAUAUUAGGAGGAACACCAGUGGCGAAGGCGGCCUGCUGGACGAUAACUGACGUUGAGGCUCGAAAGCGUGGGGAGCAAACAGGAUUAGAUACCCUGGUACA
rnacentral:rRNA from 1 species